rnacentral:rRNA from 1 species
AAAGGAAUUGACGGGGACCCGCACAAGCAGCGGAGCAUGUGGUUUAAUUCGAAGCAACGCGAAGAACCUUACCAGGGCUUGACAUCCUUCUGACCGGAACUUAACCGUUCCUUUCUUCGGACAGAAGUGACAGGUGGUGCAUGGUUGUCGUCAGCUCGUGUCGUGAGAUGUUGGGUUAAGUCCCGCAACGAGCGCAACCCUUGUCGUUAGUUACUAACAUUCAGUUGAGGACUCUAAUGAGACUGCCGUGGAUAACACGGAGGAAGGUGGGGAUGACGUCAAAUCAUCAUGCCCCUUAUGUCCUGGGCUACACACGUGCUACAAUGGUCGGUACAAAGAGACGCGAGACAGCGAUGUGGAGCAAAUCUCAAAAGCCGAUCCCAGUUCGGAUUGCAGGCUGCAACUCGCCUGCAUGAAGUCGGAGUUGCUAGUAAUCGUGGAUCAGAAUGCCACGGUGAAUGCGUUCCCGGGUCUUGUACACACCGCCCGU